CUCUCUUGCAAAUAAGGUAAAACCUCGAAAAUUAGCCACGUCAUCUAAAUCAAUCGGCAUCUUGCAUAAUAGCAAAAACAAAUAGCCUUUUCCCCUUCUCCUAGAAACGUUCAGCCACAAACACUAAUUAAAACAGGGUUUCAACUUUCAAGCCAUAAACUCAUCAACUCCCACAAGCCAUGAUCUCUUCCAUACAUGUGGUUUGAAGCUCCUCUCCUUUCAUGUUUAAACCAAAAGGCCACGAUCAUAUAUAGAGACAUCCUCCAUUUUGAACGUUUGUGUGGGUAUGGAGAAGCAUCGAGUCAGUAGAUGAUCAACAAGGUCUUCCAUAAAAAUUGAACUCAACAAAAGGUGAAUGCAUCUCGAGUUAAGCGAGAAAUAAGAACGACAGAACUGGGAACUCAUCGAUGGUAGACAUGGUUUACUGCAAUAUUCAAUGGAUAUUGAUGCGAAGAUGACCAGCAUCAAUAUUGUGAGACUACACUUCUUCCCCAAAUCCUCAAGGUGCAGCAACUCGAUGAUUGGUCAAAUCUGAUCAGUUCUAUAUUUUUCAUGUUCUCAAAGUGUUAGGUUGAAUGUUAACAAUUCUAGCGGUGGUGAUCGAAGCAAAGAGAAAUGAUGGUUGUGGUGAUGAUGAUGAUGAGCGUAAAUGACUAUACUCGGGUGCUACCAGCCACGGCCAAAACCGUAACGAAUCAUAGUCACUUACAGUUAUACUGUUUCUCCAAAUUCUAUUAUUUUACAUUUAAAAUGUAAACCCCAAAUUAUUUCAUGGUUUUGUUGUUUUCAAAGUUAAACUUGUCAUGUCUAGAUAAAGAGACCCUGAGCAAAUUUACUAUGCAACUGUAAUGAAAGGUAAAGGUCCAAGCAUAGUUGAGAAAGAACAAAUUGGCGUGAUGAAUCUGAUGAAAAAGUAAACAAGAAACAUACUCAAGGUUAUAAUCGUAGAAAACAGACAAUCAGAAUUGAUGUUCUAUGCUUUAUUGGCUAAACAAAUAAUCAAAAUCAUUAGAGUAUUGGUGUCCUUGACGAUUCAAAUUAUUAUAUAUAAUUGCUUGAGGAAUUUUCCUAACAUAUAAUUAGUAUU